UACGUAGGGUCCGAGCGUUGUCCGGAAUUACUGGGCGUAAAGAGCUCGUAGGUGGUUUGUCGCGUUGUUCGUGAAAACUCACAGCUUAACUGUGGGCGUGCGGGCGAUACGGGCAGACUAGAGUACUGCAGGGGAGACUGGAAUUCCUGGUGUAGCGGUGAAAUGCGCAGAUAUCAGGAGGAACACCGGUGGCGAAGGCGGGUCUCUGGGCAGUAACUGACGCUGAGGAGCGAAAGCGUGGGGAGCGAACAGG
rnacentral:rRNA from 1 species